GACGAACGCUGGCGGCGUGCUUAACACAUGCAAGUCGAACGGUAAGGCCCUGCUUUUGUGGGGUGCUCGAGUGGCGAAAGGGUGAGUAACACGUGAGUAACCUGCCCUUGACUUUGGGAUAACUUCAGGAAACUGGGGCUAAUACCGGAUAGGAGCACCUGCUGCAUGGUGGGGGUUGGAAAGUUUCGGCGGUUGGGGAUGGACUCGCGGCUUAUCAGCUUGUUGGUGGGGUAGUGGCUUACCAAGGCUUUGAGGGGUAGCCGGCCUGAGAGGGUGACCGGCCACAUUGGGACCGAGAUACGGGCCAGACUCCUACGGGAGGCAGCAGUGGGGGAUAUUGCACAAUGGGCGGAAGCCUGAUGCAGCAACGCCGCGUGCUGGAUGACGGCCUUCGGGUUGUAAACCGCUUGCGCCUGUGACGAAGCGUGAGUGACGGUAAUGGGUAAAGAAGCACCGGCUAACUACGUG
rnacentral:rRNA from 1 species